rnacentral:rRNA from 1 species
AACGAACGCUGGCGGCAUGCCUAACACAUGCAAGUCGAACGAGAUCUUCGGGUCUAGUGGCGCACGGGUGCGUAACGCGUGGGAAUCUGCCCUUUGGUUCGGAAUAACAGUUGGAAACGACUGCUAAUACCGGAUGAUGACGAAAGUCCAAAGAUUUAUCGCCAGAGGAUGAGCCCGCGUAGGAUUAGCUAGUUGGUGUGGUAAAGGCGCACCAAGGCGACGAUCCUUAGCUGGUCUGAGAGGAUGAUCAGCCACACUGGUACUGAGACACGGCCCAUACUCCUACGGGAGGCAGCAGUGGGGAAUAUUGGACAAUGGGCGAAAGCCUGAUCCAGCAAUGCCGCGUGAGUGAUGGAGGCCUUAGGGUUGUAAAGCUCUUUUACCCGGGAUGAUAAUGACAGUACCGGGAGAAUAAGCUCCGGCUAACUCCGUGCCAGCAGCCGCCGUAA